GAAAUGCGAUAAGUAGUGUGAAUUGCAGAAUUAAGUGAAUCAUCGAAUCUUUGAACGCACAUUGCGCCCUAUGGUAUUCCGUAGGGCAUGCCUGUUCGAGCGUCAUUUACACCUUCAAGCCUUGCUUGGUGUUGGGUGACUGUGGCCCCUUUGGGGCCACUCGCCUUAAAGUCAUUGGCGGCCGGUUCGUUGGCUUUGUAGCGCAGCACAAUUGCGUCCUCGAAGCCGCUGGACCAGCUCCCAGAAGCUAAUUUUAAAUGUUUGACCUCGAAUCAGGUAGGGAUACCCGCUGACCUUAAGC
rnacentral:misc_RNA from 1 species